rnacentral:rRNA from 1 species
UACGUAGGGUGCGAGCGUUAAUCGGAAUUACUGGGCGUAAAGCGUGCGCAGGCGGUUCUGAAAGUCAGCUGUGAAAGCCCCGGGCUUAACCCGGGAAUGGCGGUUGAAACUACAGGACUAGAAUCUGGCAGAGGGGGGUGGAAUUCCACGUGUAGCAGUGAAAUGCGUAGAGAUGUGGAGGAACACCGGUGGCGAAGGCGGAUCUCUGGGCCUGUCCUGACGCUGAGGCGCGAAAGCUAGGGGAGCGAACAGG